rnacentral:rRNA from 1 species
CAUGCAAGUCGAACGAGAGAUGAAGAGCUUGCUCUUCAAAUCGAGUGGCGAACGGGUGAGUAACGCGUGAGGAACCUGCCUCAAAGAGGGGGACAACAGUUGGAAACGACUGCUAAUACCGCAUAAGCCCACAGCUCGGCAUCGAGCAGAGGGAAAAGGAGUAAUCCGCUUUGAGAUGGCCUCGCGUCCGAUUAGCUAGUUGGUGAGGUAAUGGCCCACCAAGGCGACGAUCGGUAGCCGGACUGAGAGGUUGAACGGCCACAUUGGGACUGAGACACGGCCCAGACUCCUACGGGAGGCAGCAGUGGGGAAUAUUGCACAAUGGGGGAAACCCUGAUGCAGCGACGCCGCGUGGAGGAAGAAGGUCUUCGGAUUGUAAACUCCUGUUGUUGAGGAAGAUAAUGACGGUACUCAACAAGGAAGUGACGGCUAACUACGUGCCAGCAGCCGCGGUAAAACGUAGGUCACAAGCGUUGUCCGGAAUUACUGGGUGUAAAGGGAGCGCAGGCGGGAGAACAAGUUGGAAGUGAAAUCCAUGGGCUCAACCCAUGAACUGCUUUCAAAACUGUUUUUCUUGAGUAGUGCAGAGGUAGGCGGAAUUCCCGGUGUAGCGGUGGAAUGCGUAGAUAUCGGGAGGAACACCAGUGGCGAAGGCGGCCUACUGGGCACCAACUGACGCUGAGGCUCGAAAGUGUGGGUAGCAAACAGGAUUAGAUACCCUGGUAGUCCACACCGUAAACGAUGAUUACUAGGUGUUGGAGGAUUGACCCCUUCAGUGCCGCAGUUAACACAAUAAGUAAUCCACCUGGG